rnacentral:rRNA from 1 species
GCAACCUGGUUGAUCCUGCCAGUAGUCAUAUGCUUGUCUUAAAGACUAAGCCAUGCAUGUCUAAGUAUAAACUUGUAUACGGUGAGACUGCGAAUGGCUCAUUAAAACAGUUAUAGUUUAUUUGCUAAAGUUUAUAUGGAUAACCGUAGUAAUUCUAGAGCUAAUACAUGCUGAUACGCUCUGCGUAGUAUUUA